GACGAACGCUGGCGGCGUGCCUAAUACAUGCAAGUAGAACGCUGAAGGAGGAGCUUGCUUCUCUGGAUGAGUUGCGAACGGGUGAGUAACGCGUAGGUAACUUGCCUGGUAGCGGGGGAUAACUAUUGGAAACGAUAGCUAAUACCGCAUAAGAGUAGAUGUUGCAUGACAUUUGCUUAAAAGGUGCAAUUGCAUCACUACCAGAUGGACCUGCGUUGUAUUAGCUAGUUGGUGAGGUAACGGCUCACCAAGGCGACGAUACAUAGCCGACCUGAGAGGGUGAUCGGCCACACUGGGACUGAGACACGGCCCAGACUCCUACGGGAGGCAGCAGUAGGGAAUCUUCGGCAAUGGACGGAAGUCUGACCGAGCAACGCCGCGUGAGUGAAGAAGGUUUUCGGAUCGUAAAGCUCUGUUGUAAGAGAAGAACGAGUGUGAGAGUGGAAAGUUCACACUGUGACGGUAGCUUACCAGAAAGGGACGGCUAACUACGUG
rnacentral:rRNA from 1 species